CCCUUAGAUGUCCGGGGCCGCACGCGCGCUACACUGGUCGAUGCAACGAGUUUCUUUCCUUGGCCGACAGGCCUGGGCAAUCUUUGAACAUCGAUCGUGAUCGGGAUAGAUUCUUGUAAUUUUUGAUCUUAAACGAGGAAUUCCUAGUAAACGCAAGUCAUCAGCUUGCAUUGAUUACGUCCCUGCCCUUUGUACACACCGCCCGUCGCUCCUACCGAUUGAAUGGUCCGGUGAAGCGUUCGGACCGUGGCCUUUGGACGGUUCGCCGUCUGUUGGCUGCGGGAAGUUCGUUAAACCUUAUCAUUUAGAGGAAGGAGAAGUCGUAACA
rnacentral:rRNA from 1 species